GGUGAGAUGGCCGAGUGGUCUAAGGCGCUAGAUUUAGGUCUGGAUGAUAUCCUACAAUUUAUCUCUAGUCAUUCGUGGCGUGGGUUCAAAUCCCACUCUCAUCA
rnacentral:tRNA from 1 species